rnacentral:rRNA from 1 species
UGGGGAAUUUUGGACAAUGGGCGCAAGCCUGAUCCAGCAAUGCCGCGUGAGUGAAGAAGGCCUUCGGGUUGUAAAGCUCUUUUGUCAGGGAAGAAACGGCUCGGGCUAAUAUCCUGGGCUAAUGACGGUACCUGAAGAAUAAGCACCGGCUAACUACGUGCCAGCAGCCGCGGUAAUACGUAGGGUGCAAGCGUUAAUCGGAAUUACUGGGCGUAAAGCGUGCGCAGGCGGUUUUGUAAGUCUGACGUGAAAGCCCCGGGCUUAACCUGGGAAUUGCGUUGGAGACUGCAAGGCUUGAAUCUGGCAGAGGGGGGUAGAAUUCCACGUGUAGCAGUGAAAUGCGUAGAGAUGUGGAGGAACACCGAUGGCGAAGGCAGCCCCCUGGGUCAAGAUUGACGCU